AAAGUUGUUCGAGGCGGCCCCAGGCAUCGCCAGGUGGCCGCUUAGACAUCAACACCCUCUGUAUAUCUACCGCGUUGCUUUGGCGGGACGGCAACCAGCAGCCCCGCUGGGAAGCUGUCCGUAGGGCUCUGUCCAAGGGCCCCGCGAGCGCCCGCCAGAGAACCGUCAAACUCAUGUUAAACCGUGGUGUCUGAGCUUUACCAAGCAAUAAGUUA
rnacentral:misc_RNA from 1 species